rnacentral:lncRNA from 1 species
GGAGACGUGUGCGCAGCAGUCGCAAUUUUUCCCCUUUUGUGCACAAUCCUUGCUCUCGUCUGAGGGUACCCAAUUUGUGAGCGGGGUGGGGAGUGUUACCUGCAGUCAUGGCAGCCUCAGUUGCCUCCGUUGGGUGCAAGGUCGCUGCCUCAUUGGCCUCGACCACCAAGCUCGAGAAGACCUCCGCUGUUAGGUCGACCUCUGUAAACAACGCCUUCGGCCUCAAGCCCUCCGCCGCCCGCGUCUCCUGCAGCUUAGGUGAGAAUGUGAAGAGCGUCGUGGACAGCGCCAAGGCUGCUGCCAUCGUCUUGGCAUCGUCUGCUCUCGUUGCUGGGGUGAGAUCUCUUCCGUAUCCUACUAUUUAAUGCAUUCUCUUUUCUCAUUCCACGAAGAGAACUCGUUUACUAGUUGGAUCACUGCGCGCUGAGGGAGUAUCAGGGUUAAUUAACUAUUAUUUCUACGUCACACCGCCCAGAUUUUUGCAAAAGAGUGGUCAGAUUGGGGCAAUAAUCAUAGUUGAAUAUAAUUUUCAGUGUUUUCGAGUAUCUCAAUGCUGGUUUUUUCUUCCAUUCUGAAACUUAUGGGGUUGUACAACUUGCCGUUGGCGAUAUUGUUACUCUUGUUACUCAUACUCCCGAUAUCAUGUGCUCAGGCUUCCUUUGCUGAGGGAGUGCCACAAAGGUUGACCUUCGACGAGAUCAACGCCCAGACCUACUUGGACGUGAAGGGCUCAGGAACAGCCAACCAGUGCCCCAUUGUUGCCGAGGGUUCCGACAAGUUCAACUUAAAGGAUGGCAACUACCAGAUGAAGAAGCUGUGUCUCGAGCCCACCUCCUUCACUGUCAAGGCUGAGUCCCAGUUCAAGCAAGGUGGCGAGGACUACCAGCCUACCAAGCUGAUGACCCGCUUGACUUACACCUUGGACGAGAUUGAGGGUCCAUUGACCAUCAGCAACGGCAAUCUGAAGUUUGAGGAGAAGGAUGGCAUCGACUACGCUGCCGUGACUGUGCAAC